UCCCGUGUGGCUCAGUUGGUAGAGCAUGGUGUUUGCAGCGCUAGGGUUGUGGGUUUGAUUCACACAGGGGAC
rfam:Salmo salar isolate Sally breed double haploid chromosome ssa23, whole genome shotgun sequence.